CAAGAAGGCAAAAACUGGGCUGGCUGCUGGAGGCCACGUCCAAGUCCACGCGUCCGCAGCUCAUUGGUCAGUGAGCUCACAGCGACGGUGGCGCGGAGCAGGCUCGGGGUCAGCGUGCUGGACGACCUGGAGGCUCCUCAAAUGUGCUCUCUCUGACCCAGGUGACUCCGUCUCAGCCCCAUGUUGCAGGUCUGCCUUUUCUCCUUUCUCUCCACUGCAAUUUCUCCUCAGAAGCAAACCUAAACUGGAAGGGGAAAAAACAACAACUUCAGCGUGCUACGAUGAUUAGUAGUCAAAGUCUCGCCAAAGGGAUGCUUCCGUAAAAGUAUGAUCAAAUAUAGUGAAUGCUGCUGCUGAGCACCAUCUAAUGGAAAGGCAAGUUUGUAAAAAUGUCCGGUGUGUCCUUAUCUACCAGAUGUGGCACCGUGUGACUUCUGGCUCUUCUCCAAAAUCAAAGUGACCAUGAAAGGUAAAUGUUUUGAAUUCAUUCAGGAUAUUGAGGAAGCAUAACUGCAACACCUGUAACAGAAGACUUCCAGAACCGCCUCAUAAAGUGACGAGAAUGAUUGGAUACAUGUUCAAAUUAAGGGGGAGUGUUUGGCAGUUUAAUGGCCAUGUGCCUUUUAUUAUAAUUAAUUUUUAAAAUUUAAACAUUCACUGUACUUUUUGAUCACACCAUAUCAUAUUCAUGCCAUAGAAUGAUACUGAGUCACA
rnacentral:lncRNA from 1 species